AUGCCGCACCACUUGCUAGCGGAGGCGGUUGAGCAACGCCUCCUACAACAAAUCCCAGGGCGUGAGCUGAAGCUUAGGGUUAGCUUAUACGCUGACGACGCAGUUGUCUUGAUCAACCCAACCCACCAGGACGUUGACUCCCUGCUAAGAAUUCUCCAAGACUUCGGAUGCGCAACGGGGCUAUGCAUCAACCCUAGAAAAUCCACGGUUUCGCCGAUCAGCUGCAAUGAACUGAACCUAGAGGAAGUGCUACACAAUUUUGGCGGCUCCAUAGCACAGUUCCCCAUCAAGUACCUAGGUCUAUCGCUAACCAUCGGCCGGCUCCGGCUCGUGCACCUGCAGUUCAUCAUAUACACAAUCAAAGCCUGGCUAGUGGGAUGGAAGGGCAGAUUGAUCCACAUCGCAGGACGGCGCGUGCUCGUCCGAUGCGUCCUCAGCGCCAUGCCAACCUUCACGCUUACCGUACUGCGGAUGCACAAGAAGAUCCUCAAGGAAAUCGACAAGUGCCGCCGCCGCUUCCUUUGA
rnacentral:rRNA from 1 species